UACGGAGGAUGCAAGCGUUAUCCGGAAUUAUUGGGCGUAAAGAGUCCGUAGGCGGCCCGGCAAGUCUGCUGUCAAAGAAUGGAGCUUAACUCCAUAAGGGCAGUGGAAACUGCAGAGCUAGAGUCUAGGAGGGGUAGAGGGAAUUCCCAGUGUAGCGGUGAAAUGCGUAGAGAUUGGGAAGAACACCGGUGGCGAAAGCGCUCUACUGGACUAGAACUGACGCUGAGGGACGAAAGCUAGGGUAGCGAAAGGG
rnacentral:rRNA from 2 species